AACGAACGCUGGCGGCAGACUUAACACAUGCAAGUCGAACGCAUCGCAAGAUGAGUGGCAGACGGGUGAGUAACGCGUGGGAAUCUACCGAGCCCUGCGGGAUAGCUCCGGGAAACUGGAAUUAAUACCGCAUGCGCCCUUAGGGGGAAAGAUUUAUCGGGGUUUGAUGAGCCCGCGUUGGAUUAGCUAGUUGGUGGGGUAAAGGCCUACCAAGGCGACGAUCCAUAGCUGGUCUGAGAGGAUAAUCAGCCACAUUGGGACUGAGACACGGCCCAAACUCCUACGGGAGGCAGCAGUGGGGAAUAUUGGACAAUGGGCGCAAGCCUGAUCCAGCCAUGCCGCGUGAGUGAUGAAGGCCUUAGGGUUGUAAAGCUCUUUCACCGGAGAAGAUAAUGACGGUAUCCGGAGAAGAAGCCCCGGCUAACUUCGUGCCAGCCGCCGCCGUAACAC
rnacentral:rRNA from 1 species